GACGAACGCUGGCGGCGUGCUUAACACAUGCAAGUCGAACGGAAAGGCCCUGCUUUUGUGGGGUGCUCGAGUGGCGAACAGGUGAGUAACACGUGAGUAACCUGCCCUUGAAUUUGGGAUAACAUCAGGGAACUGGGGCUAAUACCGGGUAGGAGCUCCUGCUGCAUGGGGGGGGUUGGAAAAUUUCGGCGGUUGGGGAAGGACUCGAGGCUUAUCAGCUUGUUGGGGGGGUUGUUGCUGACCAAGGCUUUGACGGGUAGGCGGCAUGAGAGGGUGACCGGCGACCUUGCGACUGAGAUACGGCCCAGACGCCUACGGGAGGCAACAGUGGGGAAUAUUGCACAAUGGGCGGAAGCCUGAUGCAACAACGCCGCGAUCGGGAUGACCUCCUUCGGGUUGUAAACCGCUGUCUCCUUUGACGAAGCGUUAGUGACGGUAAUGGGUAAAGAAGCACCGGCUAACUACGUG
rnacentral:rRNA from 1 species